AAUACAACCUCAAGAUUUCAUUAUGGGAAAGAUGCCCUGGAUUCAUAUAAAAGACCAGGGAGAGGGACUCUUCAGAGGAAGUAUGGCCGUGAAGAUGGUGACUGUCCAGGGCUGCAGAGAAGUGCCACAGUACCUUUGGAAACAAGCUACACUGCAAAGGGUGCUAAUUCUCAGCAGCGAUGGCUGAAGACUGGAACAAGAUGCCAGGAGUCUGCU